rnacentral:pre_miRNA from 14 species
AUCCCAAGAGGGUUCAUUUAAGAUGCAGAUUCCAGUCCUGUAGGUGGGGCCUGGGACUCUGCAUUUCUAACAAGCUCCCAUGUGGUG